CCUCACUGUCCUCCUCGUCCUCUUCUGCCUCGGACUCCUCGCUGUCCUCGAAGAACUUGGACUUGUCGGUGCUCUGGGGCGGGGCUGGGAG